UACGUAGGGGGCAAGCGUUGUCCGGAUUUAUUUGGGCGUAAAGAGCGUGUAGGCGGCUAUAUAGGUCCGUUGUGAAAACUCGAGGCUCAACCUCGAGACGUCGAUGGAAACCAUCUGGCUAGAGUCCGGAAGAGGAGAGUGGAAUUCCUGGUGUAGCGGUGAAAUGCGCAGAUAUCAGGAAGAACACCCGUGGCGAAGGCGGCUCUCUGGUACGUGACUGACGCUGAGACGCGAAAGCGUGGGGAGCAAACAGG
rnacentral:rRNA from 1 species